UACGGAGGGUGCAAGCGUUAUCCGGAUUCACUGGGUUUAAAGGGUGCGUAGGCGGGUUGGUAAGUCAGUGGUGAAAUCUUCAAGCUUAACUUGGAACUGCCGUUGAUACUAUCAAUCUUGAAUAUUGUGGAGGUAAGCGGAAUAUGUCAUGUAGCGGUGAAAUGCUUAGAUAUGACAUAGAACACCGAUAGCGAAGGCAGCUUGCUACACAGUAAUUGACGCUGAGGCACGAAAGCGUGGGGAUCAAACAGGG
rnacentral:rRNA from 1 species